CCAAAAACAUCAAAAUCUCAAGAUGUAGAUUAACAUAAUCAAAAUUUCCAUAUAUCAAGAUAUUGAAUGUCAAAAUCGAAACUUCUAUAUCGUAAGAUACCCGGUAUUGAUUAAAUUAAGCUAAAUUUAUAUGUCUAGAUAUUAAGCUUAGCAAAACUUAAAUUUCUCUUCAAGACAUUGAAUAUCAAAAUUAAAUAAUCAAUAUCUGAAGAUACU